UAGGACUCCCUUCGCUGUGGCUUUUUGUCUCCUCUAAAUGUUUGGGACCUGCUAUUUUCAAGCUCAGCGCAACUUAAGCAAACAGCGCUCAACACAUCCACUAUUACGUAAUCACGCCCCAAUGGAGACACGCAGACUUUAACCACUUUCUCUUUCAACUUUCCACUUUUACUUACUUGACACCGGCAGAGAAGCUGACAACAGGGAAGAAGAAUCCAUCAGUGUUGAAGUCCUCAAACAUGCCCUGAACAGGCUGCCCGUUGAUCCUGAAGGACAUGCUGGGGGAGCCCAGAUCCAGACAGCAGCUUACGACGUCAUCUGAGGUCAGCAGGUGCUGGUUGAUGGAGGCCACGGCUCUGGGGAUGCGACCUGGACAACAAGAGCUAGUUCCGCUAUUCGAGAACCUCAAGACCCCCCCCAAAACUGCAUAUAAUGGACACAUCCAUACAGCCUACCUGACCAGAGGUGAAGUCCGUCAAAGCUGUAAGAAAAGAGGUCAUCCCCGACGCCGUUGCCACCCCAUCCCUCUCCUCCGCCAGGAUACGGGGCGUAGCCUUUUGUGUUAGCCCAGCCCACCCUCAGCCCAAACUUGAUCUGAUCCAUAGAAUGUGGUGAAUCCCAGGCAGCAGCAUCGUGACCAUCUGCUAGACCACUAAAGAACAGCAUCAGGACUAUGUUUAGGGCCCUGGAGUCUCAAUCGACGCACUUAUGCCUUAACAGACAGUGGCAGGUGUGUGUUUGUGAGCAUGUGCAGCCUCACGCUGUCCACCGACUGGCCCGAUACCCGAGAGGCUCCGACGUUCUGCACGUGUCACAUAAACCCCCCACAAGACACCCACCGCUGCCACCGAUGUGAACUUGAGAAAAAGUAAUUUUGUUCAAUCCCUCAGUGCAGCUAUUUUGACUCGCGUGCUUUGCACAUGCUCAGUAGGGAUCAACAGACAGCUUUUGGUCAAGGUUGGCUGAAAAGGCAAGAAAGAAAUCAAACUCAAUGGUUGAUUAUUUUUUUUUUGUGAAAAUCUCUAACGCUUUGUUGUUCUGAACUCCUCCUUCCAUGCAUUAUUUGUAUGAAACAUAUUCUGCUAGAAAGAGGUCUGCAUGGAUUUAGCUCAACUUCUAAUUUUAUAUCGCAAACUAGUUGAUACUAAAUCAACAUCACCUCUGCUGGUUGCAGCUAAGAAGUGCACCAAGUUUGAUGAGAUUCAUCAACAGUUCAUUCCAUGCAAUAUGCCUAAAAGGCCAAAUUAAUCCAUUAUUAUGAUUAUACCGGGCGGCACGGUGGUCGAGUGGUUAGCGCGCAGACCUCACAGCUAGGAGACCAGGGUUCAAUCCCACCUGUGUGGAGUUUGCAUGUUCUCCCCGUGCAUGCGUGGCUUUUCUCCGGGUACUCCGGUUUCCUCCCACAUUCCAAAAACAUGCUAGGUUAAUUAGCCACUCCAAAUUGUCCAUAGGUAUGAAUGUGAGUGUGAAUGGUUGUUUGUCUAUAUGUGCCCUGUGAUUGGCUGGCGACCAGUCCAGGGUGUACCCCGCCUCUCGCCAAAAGACAGCUGGGAUAGGCUCCAGCGCCCCCCGCAACCCUCGUAAGGAAAAGCGGUAGAAAAUGAAUGAAUGAAUUAUGAUUAUACCUAGUAGAGAUAUUUGGUACAAAAAACGCUGUAUCAACCUAUGACAAGGAAAAAGACAAAAUGGGGACUGUCGGGUAGCUGUGUAUACCUAUAGACCUUUUUGAGCAGAUGGUGUGGACAGUGCCUGUCCCAAGCCCAGAUAAAGGAAGGGCAUCCGGUGUAAAAAAAAAAAAAAAAAAAACAACAACAACAAAUCACGCAGGUGUUCACUCGCUUUGGUGACUCUUGACUGCAGAAGCCAAAAGACAACAAUAACAGUGCUAUCAGCAUUAAAAAGUACAGUAUCUCUACUAAAAGGCAAAGAUAUUCCUGUGUGUUCAUCUGAUUUAAUAAAUUCAAUCUAAGGGAACAGCAUGAUUGUUAUCACCGCCUCAUGGCUGAAAAUCAAUAAUGCAUCACACGCAUCUAAGCUCCAUAUUAAAAAAAAAAAAAUGAAAUAAGAUUCACCAGUCAAGCAAGUUUUGCCCCGCAGUAUCGAUGCGCAUCGCAGUUCCUGUAACAAAUUGGAAAUUUCCUGGCUUGGUUUGCAUGCAUAUGACUUUAUAGGAAGCAUUUCUCAGACGCGUUGAGCGUGAGGAGCCAGAGCGGAGCCUGGGUGGAAAUGAAAGCGUUGUGAUGUAAGAAACGCGUCUGAUGUGUGAGAGAGGAAACUGGCACAUAGGGGGAAGUUGUGUGUGCGUGUUGUCAUCUUGAGACAAAUGCAUACACUGUAAACCCCAACAGCUGAACUAGCUCAUAAUUAAUAAGGUCGGAACACUCAAAUGUCGUUAUGUAGUUGACUGAAAGUCAAAGUUUUUAGCUCUGUUAAGAUUUAUGCCACUUUAACUUAAUAGGGCUUAAUAUUAUAUAGUCAGGGGCGUCACGGCGGUCUAGUGGUUAGCGCGCAGACCUCCCCGUGCAUGCGUGGGUUUUCUCCGGGUACUCCGGUUUCCUCCCACAUUCCAAAAACAUGCUAGGUUAAUUGGCCACUCCAAAUUGUCCAUAGGUAUGAAUGUGAGUGUGAAUGGUUGUUUGUCUAUAUGUGCCCUGUGAUUGGCUGGCCACCAGUCCGGGGUGUACCCCGCCUCUCGCCCGAAGACAGCUGGGAUAGGCUCCAGCACCCCCCGCGACCCUCGUGAGGA